AGUCUCCCUUUCCUAACCCUCACGGAAGUUUCCCACAGCCUGCAGCAGUCCUUCUUGUAGCCAGCCAAUCUCGCCCAGCUCCACUCCACCAGCAGCCCGUCAGGAGGAGCCUGGGCCAUCUCCGGCAGUGACCAGACUGUGUCCUGAGACCUUCAGCCUCCUCCUUCUCCCACUCUCUGUUUCUCCAACUGGCUGUUCCCUGCCUCCCUCCCGGCCCAGCCUCCCAUGGCCCUGUGGACCUGACACGUGGACUCGCCCUCCUGGGCAUGGCCCCGUGCUCACCUCCCGGCUCACCGUCUGCACCUGCCCCUCAGCCUUCGCCAGCCCCCUGCCUCUCAGGGGAGGCACCGCGUCCUGACGCAGCCCCGCUUCCUGCCCGCUCUUCGCCCCAGCAUGGAGCAAGCCCACGGUUGCUUUACCGGAACUUUUCAGCCACCCUGCAAAGACGAAGUGUGUCUGAGGCUGUGGUUUAAAACCGGGUUGGGGGCCCAGAGCAGCUGCGCAGGAAGCGAGGCUGCUUUUCCAUGAGUUCCCUGGCCAGAGCGUGGUUUCACCUCGGCCCCUUCCUCCCAGGCCUCCAGGGCUACAGCGAGGUUCUUGUUUUGCUGGACCUGUGACACCUGAACACCAAGGGCAUCCACACACGACCAGCGAAGUCCCUUCUCCCUCUGAAGCGCGUGGCAUUAGGUGUCUACCAAGAGAAAUGUGGGCAUGAGGGUACCAGCAGACACUGUGAGGGAAAUUCACAGCAGCCUCAAUCAUACUCGCCAACGACGGGAGUCAAACCACACCUCCUUCAACUGGAGAAGACGUAAAGUGGUGGGAUACCCACACAACGGGAUGCAACACAGCGAGAAGAAAGAACGAAUGCGUCUCACAGACAUGGUGGUGCGUCAAGGGAGCCAGAUGCAAAAAAGAACACCCGCGCUCUUUGACGUCAGUCAGCCGAACUUUGAUGUCCUGACCCCAUCACCAACCAGCUGGAUGACUCUGGGCAGUGUGCAUGCAGGGGUCAAUGGGGUUCAAGGAUGUGACAGCUGCUCUGGACAGCCAAAAGCACUGGACAAGUGUUUGUUGAGGAUGAUGAUGAUUAUUCUAAGUGUUGGCUGAAAGGACCCCUCGGAAUCAUUUCAUAUUCUAUACUGCGCUAGUUGGCCCAAAUCUGGGCAACUCUUUAUUUGUCCUUCUCCUUGUGCCUGCUGCCAGGGCUCAAGGUCUGGCCCUUCCGAACAAGAAGUGACCUCAGAAGACCCCCUAGGUUCUUGCUACUCAAAGUUGGUCAGAAGACUGGCAGGAGGAAUAGCAUCACCUGGGAGCCUGUUAGAAAUGCAGGCUCUCUGGCCCCGCCCCGGACCUCCUGAAGCAGAUGCCUCCUAACCGCAUGCUCAGACGACGACGUGCUUGGGAAGCACUGCUCCCCUCCAGCCUUCUGGUUUACUGCCGAGGAAACAGAGGGUCAGGCACUGCUCUGAGUCACAAAGCAUGUUUGCACAAGAGCUGGAUCCAGAAGCCGGGCUCUGGGGCUCCCAGACAGCUGCCUUUAGCCAGAAGCCUUUGGUUAAGAUGACCUGAGGCAGAAUGCGGAUGAGCUUCCUAAGUAAGGAGGAAAGUUCUGUCUUCUCUCCUGAAAGCCGCCUGGAGGAAAACAAUGCUCCUCCCUGAUGUCGUUCAGCCUGUGGUUUGGGUACAGGUAAGAAGACGGCCCGUCCAAUAGACAGACAUAGACAGUGCCCCCUCUUCCCGGGAAGGUUGGGCAGCAACAUCACAGCAGCUGGACCGUUUUCAAGAUGACUGCUUCCUCUCAGACCUCUUUGUGCCUCAGUUUCCUCACCUGGAAAAGGCACUCUUCCCUGACAAGCAUGUCUUGAGCACCUGCCACGUGCCAGACCUGGUGCCAGGCCCUUGGUAAAGAUUCACAGGUGCUUACAGCCUGGGAGUCAUGCAUGUCACAAGACACAGGAAGGCCACGCACUGUCUGCGAAGGAUUCAAGGAAAAGUCGGGGCAGCGGAGGGACUGCACCCAGAAAAAACGCAGAGAAUCACAAGCCACCACUGUUGGAAACAUCUAUUGGACCCCAUUUGCGAAAGCCGAUCUCUGGAGUCUUAUUAAUUCUCUUUCCGACGAAACCAAACUGCUUAUUCCAUGAACCCCUAUCAGUUGGAGAACGGUAGGCUGAAAGGGGCAUCAGAUUAGAAGUCUCCUGGUCCAUCUUCAUUUCCCAGAAGGGGAACUGAGACCCACAGACGGACAGAGACCUCCCUGGGGACACACAGUGUUAGUGAUAGCAGCAGAAAUCUCCACUCCUUUUCUGAUACACUUUCUAUCUCACAUCCUUCUUCACUCCCUUCCAUGAUGUCACAAUUGAACCAAUAUUGACAAGUGUCCUCCAUCAGCGGGACGAGGGUGAUUGAGACAUGGUCACAGUUAGAUCCCACUCUGGGGAAGCUCACAGAUUAGCACGGGCUCAGCCAAAAGAAGUUCAGCUUAUUUAAAAGCCACGCUAGAAGGAUGAGAGGCGGCCCCCAGUGUGGGGGGCGGGGCUGCAGUGGGCGGGGCCAUUCUAGGGGUUC
ensembl:lncRNA